UAAUACAGAGGUGGCAAGCGUUGCUCGGUAUCACUGGGCUUAAAGGGCGCGUAGGCGGUGCGGUACGGUUUCGGUGAAAUCCCUCGGCCCAACCGAGGAACAGCCGGAGCUACGGCCGGACUAGACGGCAUCAGGGGACAGUGGAACUCCCGGUGGAGCGGUGAAAUGCGUAGAUAUCGGGAGGAACGCCGGUGGCGAAAGCGACUGUCUGGGGUGCCUGUGACGCUGAGGCGCGAAAGCCAGGGGAUCAAACGGGAUUAGAUACCCCGGUAGUCCUGGCCCUAAACGAUGCGCACUAGGUAGCGGGAGGUUCCGACUUCCCGCUGCCGGAGUAAAAAUCUUAAGUGCGCCGCCUGGGGAGUACGGCCGCAAGGUUA
rnacentral:rRNA from 1 species